rnacentral:rRNA from 1 species
GAUGAACGCUGGCGGCGUGCCUAAUACAUGCAAGUCGAGCGAACAGACGAGGAGCUUGCUCCUCUGACGUUAGCGGCGGACGGGUGAGUAACACGUGGAUAACCUACCUAUAAGACUGGGAUAACUUCGGGAAACCGGAGCUAAUACCGGGUAAUAUAUUGAACCGCAUGGUUCAAUAGUGAAAGACGGUUUUGCUGUCACUUAUAGAUGGAUCCGCGCCGCAUUAGCUAGUGGGUAAGGUAACGGCUAACCAAGGCAACGAUGCGUAGCCGACCGGAGAGGGUGAUCGGCCACACUGGAACUGAGACACGGUCCAGACUCCUACGGGAGGCAGCAGUAGGGAAUCUUCCGCAAUGGGCGAAAGCCUGACGGAGCAACGCCGCGUGAGUGAUGAAGGUCUUCGGAUCGUAAAACUCUGUUAUUAGGGAAGAACAAAUGUGUAAGUAACUAUGCACGUCUUGACGGUACCUAAUCAGAAAGCCACGGCUAACUACGUG